GUGGAUUAGAUACCCUAGUAGUCCUGGCCGUAAACGAUGGGUACUAGGUAGGGGGAUUUCAAACGUCUCUCUGCUGGAGUGAAUAUAUUAAGUACCCCGCCUGGGAAGUACAGUCGCAAGGCUGAAACUCAAAGGAAUUGACGGGGGCUCACACAAGCGGUGGAGCAUGUUGUUCAAUUCGAAGCAACGCGCAGAACCUUACCUGGGCUUGACAUGCUGGUGGUAGAAGCCUGAAAGGGUAACGACCAACUCUGUUGGAGCCAGCACAGGUGUUGCACGGCUGUCGCCAACU
rnacentral:rRNA from 1 species